AAAAUAUUAUAAUUCUUAUAAAUUGCAUAUUUCUCUAAUUCUACAUUACAUACACGUGGCACCAUGUUUAAACGACGCGUUGAAUGAGUCUUUAUACACACAACCAUGAGGAGCUCCUAUAAUAUGGACUAUAUGCAAUACUUGUCAACAGAAAUUAGUAAAUGUCUUAUUUAAGUAAAGGCGAAAAUCGACAUCUUUGAUGUUCGCAUCAUUGUGUGUACCAGAGGGAAAACAGCAAAACUGUGACGUUUCUCGAGUAUCAAUUUACAGUGUCCAUGCACUCGCGUAAGCGAGUCCAGUAUGAACAUAGCUUCAAAAACUUCAUGUUUUAAGUACGCAUGUGGACAUAAGUGUAUACUACGAACAUAGUGUUAGAAUUAUUGGUAUAAAUUACGUAGUAGGCUCGGUAAUAAGGUGAAUUAAAAUAAAAGAAAAACAGUUCCUCGCAAGUGUUGAUACGCCACAGAUUGGUAUGCAUGCAUACAUAGAUAAUCCGUGUGAAGCUAGCUCAAGAUGGUCGAAUAAACGCGAUGCCGAGCGUUGUACCUCGAACAUCGAAGAUUCAGUGACUGAUCAAAGGGGUGCAAUAGAGAUUAUCGUGAUGAUAAUGAAUCCAAACGCGGACUAUCUUCAAUAAUAUUACAAUUUUUAAUAAGCAAUUAGUCUAGUACAAUCGACUAAAUUCAAUGAAAAAGAUAUAUCUGUGAGAAUGUGGAAACUGAUAUACAGAAAUUUUGGACAUACUAGACAGAUUAUUAUCAAUGUAAAGAAGCAGUGUGAACUUCUAGGAAAUAUCUCCUGAAGAUAGCAACGUAAGAAUCUCGGGAUUCCCAUAAUUCCCUUAAAAACAUGUUUUCAAACUACAAGUUGAAGAAAUCUUUAUUUCAUAUGUAUAACUAUUAAUAUAUUCGCUAAUUAUGCAUCGAUAAUAAAAUCGUUGUAAAACGUUUUA